ensembl:lncRNA
CUCUUCUCCCAGGUAUGGCAGGAUGCAGGCCAGGGUCACCCGCUCCUCCCAGUCUCCAGCCAUUCCCAUCCUCUUUGCUGUCCACAGCCGGGCAUGCAGAGAGCUGUGAAAAGGUUUUACCAUAGCUGUCUGGAUUUCUUGAGUGGAUGGGAAUGCCGCCAGGGGACACCUCAGGCCGGCAGAAAAUGCUUUUGGUGGAGGAGAUGGUGGCGGCAAGCAGCGGCACCAGAGCCAGGUGCUGAGAGACAGGCAGGCAGGCACAGCAGUCCCCGGAGCGAGCCAUGGUGCCCCUGCAGUAAGGCUGACCAGGAGCUCCAGCAGCUGGUCCUGUCGGGACUGCCUGGGUGCAGGCCUGUGCUGGGCCCCGACUUCUGGCAGGCGGCCUGGAGGGACCUGGAGGAACUGGUGGAGCAGAACAGCCUGUCGUGCCACUGUUGCAGCUCUCGUGAGGGCCAGGCUGAGGCACGGCGGCAUCCCGGGAAGAAGCAGCAGGACCACCAGGGCCACCCCAAGGAGUCAGCAAAGAUUCCUUUGCCUCUGGGUGCAGCACCUAAGGAGACACAACGUCCAGCAGCUGCUGCAGCACUUCCAGGCCCAGCCAGAGCAACACUGCAGAAGGACAGCGGCGCUCAAACGGACACCUCAGACCUGCUUCUGGCUGACGCUGAAGCUACCGGGAGGCAACGCCACUGUGCAGUGCCUGACAACAUCUCAAAGCCACAGCUCAGUCAGAUGUCUUGCAUGCAGGUCUCCGUGCACACAGCCAAAAAGUGCCUGGACGUCAAUCUCCACGUCUUCCCUGAGGCAGUUCGGAGGCCCACAGAACUGCUGCAGCAUCCACAGCCAACACAUGGUGCCCCGGUCUCCACACUCAAAAGGAAGUGCCCCCUCCAUCCUGACCAGGUCCCGCGGCAGCAGCAUGGGGCCAGGGCACCAGGAUGCCACCGCGCUCCCACGUACUUCUGCAGCCGUGAGGCUUGGUUCCUGCCCGAGGAGGAGCGCGAGGCCCUGGAGCUGCACACCUGCUCCAUGAAGCAGAAGCACCCUGGGAACCAGCCAGCAGCGUCCUGGGAGAAGGAGUCCACCAGCACAUAUAAGACUGCACCAUCUGAGGCAGACUGGGCUGAGGCAGGUGCCAAAGGACACAAGCGGUGGCCCUGGUGCAAGAAUUGCCCUGGGAGAGGCGAGAGCACCUGGAGCACCAAAGCAGAACGCAGCAGCUCUCCACCUGGCAGCGUAACGUUCUGAGCAGCACAGGUUGAACACCACCACCUGCCACAGCUGACCAUUACAGCUGUGCCGUGACCAUGUUUGUGGCUCCAAGAAAUCGUGCCACUCGCACCACGCCCGGGAUGCUGCGGCCGUCCCAAGUGCGGCCACGACCCCCAGACACUACAUCGUCUGGGGGAAGAUGUGCCUGUUGCCCUAAACGCCAAGGAUCUCUGUCUCUAAGCCCAUCUAUCUGGCUUGAGAGGAGACGAAGGGCCAGGCUCAGCAGUGCCCCUUCUCUCAAAAGAAACCUUUAUUUUUUAAAAUAAAUAAGCUUAUUUACUUGUGCCAAAGGGCUUUCUCUGUGGGGGCCUCCUUGGGAAUCGAGGGGGGCGAGGGGAGGUGGGCUCAGGAGUGCCAGGGAAGGUGUGCUGUCCCAUAGGAGGACAGAGACACCCGGGAUGCUGCGGACGUACCAACUGCGGCCAUGACCCCCAGACACCUCAUCCCAGCUCUGCUUGGAUGGCACGCAUCACCCCUCCAGCCUCAUGUCUCCCACAAGCCACACCAGAGUGCUUGGGAGCUAUAGGUUCCCCAGACCCAUGAGCUCGCGCUCAGGAAGACUCUGGGGCUUGGAGAAACUCCAGGCUGAAGGCAGACUAAGCAGGAGGCAGAGAACACCCCUCUGAAGGUGAGAGGGCAGCCUGGGAGCUCUGUCUCACAGCAGCCAUUCUGCUAAGCAGUGGCAGGAUGCAGGACAGCGUCACCCGCUCCUCCCAGUCUCCAGCCAUUCCCAUCCUCUUUGCUGUCUACAGCCGGGCAUGCAGAGAGCUGUGAAAGGUUUUACCAUAGCUGUCUGGAUUUCUUGAGUGGAUGGGAAUGCCGCCAGGGGACACCUCAGGCCGGCAGAAAAUGCUUUUGGUGGAGGAGAUGGUGGCGGCAAGCAGCGGCACCAGAGCCAGGUGCUGAGAGACAGGCAGGCAGGCACAGCAGUCCCCGGAGCGAGCCAUGGUGCCCCUGCAGUAAGGCUGACCAGGAGCUCCAGCAGCUGGUCCUGUCGGGACUGCCUGGGUGCAGGCCUGUGCUGGGCCCCGACUUCUGGCAGGCGGCCUGGAGGGACCUGGAGGAACUGGUGGAGCAG